rnacentral:rRNA from 1 species
GUGGGGAAUAUUGGGCAAUGGGGGAAACCCUGACCCAGCAACGCCGCGUGAAGGAAGAAGGCUUUCGGGUUGUAAACUUCUUUUACCAGGGAAAAACACAAUGAUGGUACCUGGAGAAAAAGCUACGGCUAACUACGUGCCAGCAGCCGCGGUAAUACGUAGGUGGCAAGCGUUGUCCGGAAUUACUGGGUGUAAAGGGCGUGUAGGCGGAACUACAAGUCAGGGGUGAAAACUAUGGGCUUAACCCAUAGCCUGCCUUUGAAACUGUAGUCCUUGAGUGCUGGAGAGGCAAUCGGAAUUCCUAGUGUAGCGGUGAAAUGCGUAGAUAUUAGGAGGAACACCAGUGGCGAAGGCGGAUUGCUGGACAGUAACUGACGCUGAGGCGCGAAAGCGUGGGGAGCAAACAGGAUUAGAAACCCGGGUAGUCC